rnacentral:rRNA from 1 species
GACGAACGCUGGCGGCGUGCUUAACACAUGCAAGUCGAACGGAAAGGCCCUGCUUUUGUGGGGUGCUCGAGUGGCGAACGGGUGAGUAACACGUGAGUAACCUGCCCUUGACUUUGGGAUAACUUCAGGAAACUGGGGCUAAUACCGGAUAGGAGCUCCUGCUGCAUGGUGGGGGUUGGAAAGUUUCGGCGGUUGGGGAUGGACUCGCGGCUUAUCAGCUUGUUGGUGGGGUGGUGGCUUACCAAGGCUUUGACGGGUAGCCGGCCUGAGAGGGUGACCGGCCACAUUGGGCCUGAGAUACGGCCCAGACUCCUACGGGAGGCAGCAGUGGGGAAUAUUGCACAAUGGGCGGAAGCCUGAUGCAGCAACGCCGCGUGCGGGAUGACGGCCUUCGGGUUGUAAACCGCUUUCGCCUGUGACGAAGCGUGAGUGACGGUAAUGGGUAAAGAAGCACCGGCUAACUACGUG